rnacentral:rRNA from 1 species
CCUACGGGUGGCAGCAGUGAGGAAUAUUUGUCAAUGGUCGGGAGACUGAACCAGCCAAGCCGCGUGAGGGAUGAAGGUACAGAGUAUCGUAAACCUCUUUUGUCAGGGAACAAAGGCGGGGACGUGUCCCCGGAUGAGUGUACCUGAAUAAAAAGCAUCGGCUAACUCCGUGCCAGCAGCCGGGGUAAUACGGAGGAUGCGGGGGUUAUCCGGAUUUAUUGGGGUUCAAGGUGGGGCGGCCGGUCUGUUAAGACAGCGGUCAAAGCCCGGGGCUCAACCCCGGCCCGCCGUUGAAACUGGCAGUCUAGAGUUGGAGAGAGGGAUGCGGAAUGCGCGGUGUAGCGGUGAAAUGCAUAGAUAUCGCGAAGAACUCCGAUUGCGAAGGCAGCAUGCCGGCUCCACACUGACGCUGAGGCACGAAAGCGUGGGUAUCGAACAGGAUUAGAUACCCCAGUAGUC